CUGGUACACUGUCCCAUCCUGGGCACAUUCCUCCUCUGACAGAUCAACAAAGUCAAAUCUUUGACAUUUGUACAGAGAUCUCAUCUUUAGGAGCUUUUUUGCCUAGAUAUGGAAUCUUAUCAAGCCAUCAGAGGUCUGAAGGAGAAAGCUCCCGCAGCAUCAGUGGAAAACCAGAGGACCCUGGCAUCAUGGUGAAGGAUGCGGUCAGCUGUGGACUCAGACAACCGAAGGAGGGAUGGAUCCAAACAGGAAGUCCAGGCUGUGCUGUGCCCACCCCAAGGGCCUGCAGCGUCUCUGCAGAGGAUUCCAGCCCCGAGGACACCUGGAGCCACCUGGAGACCUGAAGACCCCUAGGAUGCUUCCCCUGCCUGCAUUUCUCUGUCCUUUCUCCUGUGCUUCUGGAUAACAGAAAUGGUUCUUAAUAAAUUCCUGUUUACAAUAAAAUUGAUACUCCUG
rnacentral:lncRNA from 1 species